rnacentral:rRNA from 1 species
GAUGAACGCUGGCGGCGUGCCUAAUACAUGCAAGUCGAGCGAACGGACGAGAAGCUUGCUUCUCUGAUGUUAGCGGCGGACGGGCGAGUAACACGUGGAUAACCUACCUAUAAGACUGGGGUAACUUCGGGAAACCGUAGCUAAUACCGGAUAAUAUUUUGAACCGCAUGGUUCAAAAGUGAAAGACGGUCUUGCUGUCACUUAUAGAUGGAUCCGCGCUGCAUUAGCUAGUUGGUAAGGUAACGGCUUACCAAGGCAACGAUGCAUAGCCGACCUGAGAGGGUGAUCGGCCACACUGGAACUGAGACACGGUCCAGACUCCUACGGGAGGCAGCAGUAGGGAAUCUUCCGCAAUGGGCGAAAGCCUGACGGAGCAACGCCGCGUGAGUGAUGAAGGUCUUCGGAUCGUAAAACUCUGUUAUUAGGGAAGAACAUAUGUGUAAGUAACUGUGCACAUCUUGACGGUACCUAAUCAGAAAGCCACGGCUAACUACGUG